UCGGGAAUUUUGGGCAAUGGGGGAAACCCUGACCCAGCAACGCCGCGUGAAGGAUGAAGUAUUUCGGUAUGUAAACUUCGAAAGAAUAGGAAGAAUAAAUGACGGUACUAUUUAUAAGGUCCGGCUAACUACGUGCCAGCAGCCGCGGUAAUACGUAGGGACCAAGCGUUGUUCGGAUUUACUGGGCGUAAAGGGCGCGUAGGCGGCAUGACAAGUCACUUGUGAAAUCUCUGGGCUUAACCCAGAACGGCCAAGUGAUACUGUCGCGCUAGAGUGCAGAAGGGGCAAUCGGAAUUCUUGGUGUAGCGGUGAAAUGCGCAGAUAUCAGGAGGAACACCUGAGGUGAAGACGGGUUGCUGGGCUGACACUGACGCUGAGGCGCGAAAGCCAGGGGAGCAAACGGGAUUAGAUACCCAGGUAGUCCCUGAGCGGGCUGGCAAGGCGCAU
rnacentral:rRNA from 1 species